rnacentral:rRNA from 1 species
AUUGAACGCUGGCGGCAGGCCUAACACAUGCAAGUCGAGCGAGCGGCGGACGGGUGAGUAAUGCCUGGGAAUUGCCCAGUCGACGGGGAUAACAGUUGGAAACGACUGCUAAUACCGCAUACGAUUGGAUUGACCAGGCGGGAUUAGCUAGUGGGUGAGGUAAUGGCUCACAAAGGUGACGAUCCCUAGCUGGUCUGAGAGGAUGAUCAGCCACACUGGAACUGAGACCCGGUCCAGACGCCUACGGGAGGCAGCAUGGGGGAAUAUUGCACAAUGGGGGAAACCCUGAUGCAGCCAUGCCGCGUGUGUGAAGACGGCCUUCGGGUUGUAAGGCACUUUCAGCGAGGAGGCGUUACUCGCAGAAGAAUCACCGGCUAACUCCGUGCCAGCAGCCGCGGUAAUUC